ACCACUUAAUCAAGGUAGGAUUGACCCAGUAUUUAUAUAAUAGAUUAUCUCUGUCAUCAAUCGAUAGCAGCAUCUCAGAGUUGAAUUAUUGGCUGGUACAUGGCCAGCGAUUGCCACGAUUGACUUUGAUAUUUGAGAGAUAGCAUCGAUCCUAGCUGUUCCUGUCACCGACUGCAGCACAACCCUCUCACCGACUGCCCACCCGCUCAUCGAUUCCUCUUCCAACCUCCGAAGUGCAGCCCUGCCGUCAACCUUCGGUGGCGCUCCGGCACAACGCUGGGAGAAAAAGACGAUUUUUAGCUAGGUGAUAUAAGUUGUUCCUGAUUCAUUGUACAUACACUCAAGUAUGAGCUGCAGCCAUUCAUAUUGCCGGCUCCGGCGGCCCCGCUGGAGGACGAGAACAUCCUCCAGGAGAUCCUCCUCCGCCUCCCUCCACAGCCAUCCUCCCUUCAACACACCUCGCUCGUCUGCCCUCGCUGGCGCUGCAUGCUCUCUGACCCCAAGUUCCUCACCCACUUUCGCAGACACCACAAGAAACCUCCAAUCAUUGGCUUCUUCGUCGAAGAAUGGGGCAUGCCCACCAUCUUCAAACCAGUAGAUCCACCCCAUCACAUCCCUGUCGAGCGCUUCUCCAUGCCCAAGGCCAGCAAACCCUACGCUAGCUGGGACUUGCUCGGCUGCCGCCAUGGCCUUGCCGUCCUAGUCAAUAUGUGGCAGCAUCGCCAGAUCAUUGUGUGGGAUCCCCUCUCUGGUCAACAACACCGCGUGAAUUUUCCACCAGGGCUUGAUAACAAUGAAGUGGCGUUCUGGCAUGCCUCGGUGAUGUGUGCAGAUGAUCAAGAUGGGCACGUGCACGGCGAUUGCUUCUCGAGCCCGUUCAAAUUGGUCUUGAUCUGGGUUGUCAGACACAAGCAAGCAUCUGCUUGCCUACACGAAUCCGCAUCUGGUGUAUGGGGAGAGAUUGUCAUGGAAAUUACAAAUCAAAUUUAUUUCAUAAGUCCUGGUGUCUUUGCUGGAAAAUGAACUUUGUUGGUUGCUUAGUGGAGUUGGCGUCCUUGUGUUUGAUCUUGAAAAUCAGAACCUUGGUGUGGUUAAGAACCUAGCAUGUAUUACUGUGUCCAUCGGAUCUGUUCAGCUCAUACGGACAAAGGAUAGUAGACUUGGCCUAGCAUACUUGUCUAGACAGACCAUUCAAUUAUGGGAGCGGAAAUCGGACUAUGAUGGUGUUGUCAGAUGGGUUCUUCUGCAAACAACCAUUCAACUGGAGGAGCUCUUUCCACAGAUGUUUUUUUUUGAACAGAUGUUUAUGGAUGAAGAAAGUGUAAGAAAAAAGGGGUAUAAUGAAAAAUCAGUAGAAAUAAAGGUCUAUGAUGGCAACACAAAUGUCAUUGUUCUUUCUACGAUUAGAGGUGACUUGACGCUCGAAGUUGACAUGAUGGAGAUCAAACACGUUAUUAAAAGAAAUUUCAAGUCUUCGAACACCUACUAUCCCUAUGUGAAUUUCUAUACCGCAGGUAAUUCCUCCCUAUCUACAUUGCACAAGCAAAACAAAAUCUAGAUAGAUUGUUUUGCCAAGAUUCAUUAAGAUAAUUUUGGUACCUGAUUCAUGAAAUAUUCCUCAUGUAAUUAAAGAUUGACUAGAUAUAUAAGAAUAUGCUCGGUAUGAUGAUCAUGUAGUGAUGUAAUUUAUUAGUUUAAAAUGGGGCUAUAUUGAAGGUAGGACAUUAAUGCAAAUUUUACUAUGUUGCAUUCCCAUUGCUAACAUGCUAACUUGUUGCGUACCCACUGCUACUUGCACUUAUCUAUAAUUAUUCACUAGGAGUUUCAUGUAAUCUGAAAAUGGCACCAAUUUCACAGAAAAUGAUAUAUUGAAACUAUAUGUUAUCUUGAAUAGCAAUUCUUCUGGCACAAUUGGAGGCUUAAAUCUUUUUAUGUGCUCCAGUUCAUUUAUUAUUCUUCAAAAA